UAGGGAAUCUUCGGCAAUGGGGGGAACCCUGACCGAGCAACGCCGCGUGAGUGAAGAAGGAUUUCGGUUCGUAAAACUCUGUUGUUAGAGAAGAACAGCGCAUAGAGUAACUGUUAUGCGUGUGACGGUAUCUAACCAGAAAGCCACGGCUAACUACGUGCCAGCAGCCGCGGUAAUACGUAGGUGGCAAGCGUUGUCCGGAUUUAUUGGGCGUAAAGCGAGCGCAGGCGGUCAAUUAAGUCUGAUGUGAAAGCCCCCGGCUCAACCGGGGAGGGUCAUUGGAAACUGAUUGACUUGAGUGCAGAAGAGGGGAGUGGAAUUCCAUGUGUAGCGGUGAAAUGCGUAGAUAUAUGGAGGAACACCAGUGGCGAAGGCGACUCUCUGGUCUGUAACUGACGCUGAGGCUCGAAAGCGUGGGUAGCAAACAGG
rnacentral:rRNA from 1 species